AGAGUUUGAUCCUGGCUCAGGAUGAACGCUAGCGGCAGGCCUAACACAUGCAAGUCGAACGGCAGCACGACCUUCGGGUUGGUGGCGAGUGGCGCACGGGUGCGUAACGCGUAUAGAACUUACCCUCUACAGGGGGAUAGCCCGGAGAAAUUCGGAUUAAUACCCCGUAGUAUUAUAGUCUGGCAUCGGAUUAUAAUUAAAGCUGAGGCGGUAGAGGAUGGCUAUGCGUCCUAUUAGUUAGUAGGUGAGGUAACGGCUCACCUAGGCAUCGAUAGGUAGGGGCCCUGAGAGGGGGAUCCCCCACACUGGUACUGAGACACGGACCAGACUCCUACGGGAGGCAGCAGUGAGGAAUAUUGGACAAUGGUCGAGAGACUGAUCCAGCCAUGCCGCGUGCAGGAAGACGGCCCUAUGGGUUGUAAACUGCUUUUGUACGGGAAGAAUAAUGCCCACGUGUGGGCAGAUGACGGUACCGUACGAAUAAGGACCGGCUAACUCCGUGCCAGCAGCCGCGGUAAUACGGAGGGUCCGAGCGUUAUCCGGAAUCAUUGGGUUUAAAGGGUCCGUAGGCGGAUCAGUAAGUCAGGGGUGAAAGUUUGCGGCUCAACCGUAAAAUUGCCUUUGAUACUGCUGGUCUUGAGUUACGAUGAAGUGGCCGGAAUAUGUGGUGUAGCGGUGAAAUGCAUAGAUAUCACAUAGAACACCGAUUGCGAAGGCAGGUCACUAAUCGUGGACUGACGCUGAUGGACGAAAGCGUGGGGAGCAAACGGGAUUAGAUACCCCGGUAGUCCACGCCGUAAACGAUGGACACUAGCUGUCGGGCUUUAGGGUUCGGCGGCCAAGCGAAAGUGAUAAGUGUCCCACCUGGGGAGUACGUUCGCAAGAAUGAAACUCAAAGGAAUUGACGGGGGCCCGCACAAGCGGUGGAGCAUGUGGUUUAAUUCGAUGAUACGCGAGGAACCUUACCAGGGCUUAAAUGUAGUGGGACAGGCUUAGAGAUAGGCUUUUCUUCGGACUCAUUACAAGGUGCUGCAUGGUUGUCGUCAGCUCGUGCCGUGAGGUGUCAGGUUAAGUCCUAUAACGAGCGCAACCCUUACCGUUAGUUGCCAGCGAGUAGAGUCGGGGACUCUAACGGGACUGCCGGUGCAAACCGUGAGGAAGGUGGGGAUGACGUCAAAUCAUCACGGCCCUUACGUCCUGGGCUACACACGUGCUACAAUGGCCGGUACAAUGAGCAGCCACUUCGCAAGAAGGCGCGAAUCUAUAAAACCGGUCACAGUUCGGAUCGGGGUCUGCAACCCGACCCCGUGAAGCUGGAAUCGCUAGUAAUCGGAUAUCAGCCAUGAUCCGGUGAAUACGUUCCCGGGCCUUGUACACACCGCCCGUCAAGCCAUGGAAGCCGGGAGUGCCUGAAGUCCGUCACCGCAAGGAGCGGCCUAGGGCAAGAUCGGUAACUAGGGCUAAGUCGUAACAAGGUAGGC
rnacentral:rRNA from 1 species